ncrna:unclassified sequences gut-2 RNA
AUCCAUGCGGUAAUUGGAUCGUAUGAAGGACUAAUUGGAGUCAGGUAU